rnacentral:rRNA from 1 species
UACAGAGGUGCCAAGCGUUAGGCGGAAUCACUGGGCUUAAAGCGCGUGUAGGUGGGUCGUUAAGUGUCCGCGUGAAAUCCCACGGCUCAACCGUGGAACUGCCGGGCAUACUGGCGAUCUUGAGGCAUUCAGGGGCGAGCGGAACAAGUGGUGGAGCGGUGAAAUGCGUAGAUAUCAUUUGGAACGCCAAUGGUGAAAACAGGUAGCUGGGAGUGUGCUGACGCUGAGACACGAAAGCCAGGGGAGCAAACGGG